AUGGUGACACUUGCAACCGUCUGGUAGUGGGCCGCCCACGGUCAGGGAAAUUAAUUGCGGAGAGUGGUGGGGUAGACUCGUGGCUAUUGUCAUAGUCUGCCACGUAUGGUCUGUUGCGGAUAGUGGGGCGGCGUCCGUUGCCGCUAGCUGUCAGUGAGUAGUGGGAUCGUGCAGAACCUGCCGCAGGGAGCGGAACAGAAUCGUGGCCGUUUGCUACAG
rnacentral:lncRNA from 1 species